GCAGCAUCAGCAGGAAGACGACAUAGUCUCGUUCACGGAGGAAGUCAGAAGCUGAACCAAUUGUGGAGCUGGCAAAAGAUGCCUUCUAUGUAGUGCGCAAAGGAGAUAUUGUUGGUGUUUAUAAGAGUUUCGGCGAUUGUCAGGCUCAGCUUAGUUCUUCGAUAAUUUUACAUUUUUCUAUUUCUGGGUUAAAUGGGUUUAAUGUGCUUGAACUUCACUUCACUUCACUCUUUCUUUUUUGUUUGGAAUUGUGGCAGAUAUUUGAUCCUCCUGUUAGUGUGUACAAAGGGUACUCUUUGCCUGAGGACACGGAAGAAUAUUCAUGUGGACUUACGAAUGCCAUUUACACAAUCGCUGCUGCAGAUUUGAAGGACGAUAUUUUCGGCAAGCUUAUGCAUUGCCCUUUUCAAGAUCCAGGAUCUUUGCAAGGUGAAGCAUCUGUCACGGAUGCACUCAAAAAGAGAUCCCAUGAAGUGCCAGCAUCAGAUAAUUUUGGAAGUAAUUGGUUCAUCUUCCUUUUUCAGAUGAUCCAUUGAGAAAGCAUGUCAAGAUAGAUCAUUCCACUCAAUCAUUACCCUUAGAUUCUGGGGAAAUAGCUGAAAAUGACACCCAUUUUAUAAUUUUAAUUAAAAAUACCACCCCUUCCCAAUUUUUGUACAACUAUCACCUAUAAAUAUAAAAUUAUUGUACCCUUAUUGCUGAUUUUUCACAAGUUCAGAAAUUUGUUCUCUCAGCUCACACAACUCUCUCUCUCUAGCACAACUCUCUCUCUCUCUGGCACAACUCUCUUUCUCUUU